rnacentral:rRNA from 1 species
UACGGAGGAUGCGAGCGUUAUCCGGAUUUAUUGGGUUUAAAGGGUGCGUAGGCGGGCUUUUAAGUCAGCGGUAAAAAUUCGGGGCUCAACCCCGUCCGGCCGUUGAAACUGGGGGCCUUGAGUGGGCGAGAAGAAGGCGGAAUGCGUGGUGUAGCGGUGAAAUGCAUAGAUAUCACGCAGAACCCCGAUUGCGAAGGCAGCCUUCCGGCGCCCUACUUACGCUGAGGCACGAAAGUGCGGGGAUCGAACAGG